rnacentral:rRNA from 1 species
GUCGUAACAAGGUCUCCGUAGGUGAACCUGCGGAGGGAUCAUUAACGAAUGGCCUAUUUUGGCCUUCAACCUUCAAACCUUUGUGAACCUUACAACUUGCUUCGGCGAGCCCCUCUCUCCGGAUUGGGAUCGCCGCGUUUAUGCUCGAAUGUGUUUUGUGUGUCGAUUUCUAUAAUAAAUAAAACUUUCAACAAAGGAUCUCUUGGCUCUCGCAUCGAUGAAGAACGCAGCGAAGCGCGAAAUGUAGUGUGAAUCGCAGAACAUUGUGAAUCAUCGAAUCUUUGAACGCACAUUGCGCCUCCCGUUACAGGGAGGCAUGCCUGUCUGAGCGUCAUUUAAACCAUAAACCUCAACGGGUUUGUCUUGGGCUUCGCCGUCUGUCGGCGUGGCCUCGAAGCGAUCGGUCGAAACAAGCGGACGAGAUCCAUCUGGGACAGACCGUUUGUGCGACCUAAAACCAUCGAGUUGACCUCAGAUCAGGUAGGGUUACCGCCUGAACUUAAGCAUAUCAAUAAGGCGAGGAACAGAAACCAACAGGGAUUCCCUCAGUAGUGGCGAAUGAAGCGGGAAAAGCUCAAGUUUGAAAUCUGAUUUACGUCAGAGUUGUAAGCUGUGGAGGCGUUGACCGACGCGGACCGGGCCCAAUUUCCUUGGAACAGGGAGUCGGAGAGGGUGAGAACCCCGUCUGUGGCUCGAGCGCCGUCGUCCUUGUGUCAUGUCCUCGAAGAGUCGGGUUGUUUGGGAAUGCAGCUCAAAAUGGGUGGUAAAUUUCAUCUAAGGCUAAAUAUUGGCGAGAGACCGAUAGCAAACAAGUAGAGUGAUCGAAAGAUGAAAAGUACUUUGAAAAGAGAGUGAAACAGUACGUGAAAUUGUUGAAAGGGAAGCGUUUGGCAUCAGCCCUUGGCUCUCGACGAUCAUCCGGGCUUCUGUCCGGUGCACUCGUCGGGGGUUGGGCCAGCGUCGGCUUUGCCCGUCGGAGAAAGGUCUUGGGGAUGUGGCUCCUCUCGGGGAGCGUUAUAACCCUUGGCGUCAUGCGAUGGGUGGGGCCGAGGUCUGCGGAUUUUCCAAGGACGCUGGCGUAAUGGUUCCAAGCGACC